AUGCCUCCGUCCAGUGGCUGCCGCUGAGGAAGCAUUAAAUGCAUCCAGAAACACUGUAGGCUACUCAGACGUCGCGCUCCCUAUUCCACAUUCUGUGUCACACAUUUUGUGGGAACAGAAUGAAAAACUCAUAUAUCUGGGGUUAUGACCUUAGAUACUCUACUACUGCACUGUUGUUAAUCCUGCAUUUCUUCUCCCCACAUCCGAUGACAGAGAGGAACAGUUAUGUUGCACAGCUACAGGUGGUCUGUAUACCACGGCCUGACCUCUUUAACACACCUCUCACUAGCCCUGAUUUAAUUGUUUAUGUUUACAGUUCUGCUUCCAGAGACUCUGACACUGACCUGAACCAUGUGGGUUUCUCCGUUGUACCUGAUCCUGUUGUUGUUGAUUUGGACCUCUGCCAACUCAUCUCUCAGUACAAGCAGUGGAGCUCAUUCACUAACAGAAGGCUACCCAGCCAUUUCUUUCCUCAUUUUCAAAAGUUGACACAUGGGUUGGACCAUGUGUAAAAAGGGGGAUUGAUCAGUAUGGAAAAACAAUUGAGGGACAAACAAUUGUUUCAAAGUUAUGAAACAACAUUGGUUCACAAGAAUACUGUCAGGCAUGUGUCAUGUCAAAACACAUGCCUGAUUGUGUAGUAGCCAAAGCCCUACUCACUGAAAUAAUUCCAAAAUGGAGACUUCCAACCAAAAUCUCAAGUAUAGUGGUUUGCAUUCAAAGUGCAACAUGCCUACCCUUGACAGAAGCUCUGCCUAUUGUACUGAUGCAAAUGAGAAUGUGCACGCGCGAGCGACUUAACCUGUCACCCUUUUUUUUUUUUAAGCACCUCCACACAUUGGACUUGGGCCAAGAGGACACCCACCGGACACACUGUCGUGUGAGGACCAACUGGUAAUAUAUUAUAUCUCACUUCAAAA